GAGCCAAAAUAAAUGCCAAGUGUGUCACAUUCUGCUCCAAGUACCCACGAUGCAAAGUUGACGUGAGUUCUUUCCUCGAUGUCGUCAUAUGUUCCACUAAAUUGCUUUCGCGCGUAAAUCUGGCACGGGAAGCCGGAGAUGGAGAUUAGAAUGAAGAAACGCAGACGGCCUUUCUCUGUAAUUAGUGCAUUUCAUGUGGUCUUCUGAAAAGUACUUACCCUCUCUCAUCUUGACAUACCUACUAUUCCAUCACUUAAAUUUCUAAAAAAGGAAAAAAUCUUCUGUCUUUCCUCCAUGUGACGUUUAAGGACAGAUGAGAGUCUGCAGAAACAGGAGCCCAGGGUUCUCACCCAGCCCUAGAUCUUAGGACAGUCCCUGAGGGUCCCUUGGUCUGUUUCCCUGUCUGUAAAAUGGAAUGACGAUGCCUACCUCCUGAUAAUCAGAUGAGAAGAUGUGGAACAAUGCCUGGAAAACAGCCCGAUGCUGUAAGAAGCUCAACUACUGUGCCUGAAAGGAAAUAUCACCUGCAGAAGACAGGAAGGGGCCAUGUCCCAGGCGAGCUCUCCCCGCUGCUGGGAAGGCUGUGCUCCUGUGAAUGUGGGCACUGAUGCAGCAGCAGAGACAGACGGGAGCUGGGGGAGAGUGGCAGAGCUGUGUGCCAGUGACUCUCAGGUAGCAGAACAGUCUGAGAGUCAAGUGUGAAUGCCUCCACCAAAGGAGGUUCACCUGCUUACAGAAAGAGGACAGAGAAAUGCAGCCCAAUGACACAAGCCUCAGGAAAGCAGAGGGUUCUUUCUUCCCGAGGGUGAGAAAGGAACGUCUUGGACAUGGCAAUGAACAGCAAAUAAACUUUUGAGCCCAAUUCCCAUUUGUGCACCCCAAGCUCAGGAAAAAAAUCCUCCCCUUGAGAAGCCACAGAAGAGGCUGCAGGGUGGGAGCCAGACCUAGCAAGGUGCCAUGGGGGCUGUGCUCACUGGCAGUCACCACGUAGAUGCACCCAAUUCUGUGACUUCAGGGGCACAGGGAGAGCCAGGGAGAGGCGGCACAGGGAGAGGUGGCACAGGGAGAGGUGGCACAGGGAGAGGUGGCACAGGGAGAGGCGGCACAGGGAGAGGCAGCACAGAGAAAGGCAGAGAAAGGUGGUACAGGGAGAGGUGGCACAGGGAGAGGUGGCACAGGGAGAGGUGGCACAGGGAGAGGUGGCACAGGGAGAGGUGGCACAGGGAGAGGCAGCACAGAGAAAGGCAGAGAAAGGUGGCACAGGGAGAGGCGGCACAGAGAGAGGUGGCACAGGAUUCUGGAUGCGGCCCCGAAG
rnacentral:lncRNA from 1 species